rnacentral:RNase_P_RNA from 1 species
ACCGGCUUGUCGCUAGUUUUUUCAGUAAUGGGUAAACGAGAGGAAAGUCCGGGCAACACAGGGCAUCCCGCUUCCUAACGGAAAGAGAUUCGCGAGAGUCUGUAAAUGCAGAAGAAAAUAACCGCCUUCAUUCAUGAAGGUAAGGGUGAGAAGGCAGGGUAAGAGCCUACCAGGUUGGUGGUGACAUCAAUGCUGUGCAUUCCGGGAGUUGAAAGUUCAUGUAUACCAGCGAACAAAAGAGAAGGCGGCCCGUCUGAGCUGGAGGGUAGAACGAUAGAGGCCUGUGGCAACACAGGUUGCAGAUAAAUGACAAGCAUCUUUCUCCCCUAAAAAGGAAAAGAUUACAGAACCCGGCUUACAAGUUUACUG